AACGCAACUUGCGCUCUCUGGUAUUCCGGGGAGCAUGCCUGUUUGAGAAUCGCAAAGCAACACAAAUCAUAUUUUUUGUUUGUAAAAGAAUGAAAAAUGUGGAGUUGAGCCGAUUAUUCUUCCAUCUCUGAAAGAGAAUUUUUUUUUUUUUUUAGGGCCCGGGGGAUGGCUUGAAAUACAGAAGGACGGGGAGCCUUGGGUAAAACCAGGCUUCCUCAGGUCUAACAAUCUAAAUACUUGAGCAAAUAAUAGUUAAUGCUUUUCAUUAAGCGUUAUUCUUUUUGCUCGGUAGUCUGAUCUGGGCCAAAUUUUUGUGCGCCCUCACACUCUCUUUUUUUCUUCCAUUUCGGUGGGAGAGAGGGGCGAGGAAACAAUCUAAAUUCUGACGAAGCAGAACGUAAAAACUUCAGCUUCCGACCUCUUAGAUCUCAAAUCAGGCAAGAGUACCCGCUGAACUUAA
rnacentral:misc_RNA from 1 species